GCGGCGGCCAACCGCGCGCCCGCGCGCGUCUGGACGAGCCGCUGCCAUUCUCUUAGCCAGUCGUGACAAUCCGGCUGCGGCUGCCGCUGUCUCUAAAGCAGGGCCUGGCCUUGGCAGGCCCCCGCACAUCUGUCUCUGGCCCCACCGCUGGAGUCUCUCAGUUCCCGGAGGAUCCGAAGGUGGAGAGCAGGGAGCAGUGUGGACCGUCCCUGAAGGGCCUUAGGAGCUCAAAUUAUAAGUCUUAGAUCGAAUGGACUGGAAACAGGAAGUGUUGAGAUUUAUGGAUUCCAAAGCUGGAAGAAAUUCAAGAUGUCUACCAUUCAAUGAGUUGUCUGUCAUUGAAUCCUUCUACAAUACUCUUUCCUGGUAGUUAGGAUUAUUCGUUUGAUCACCUCAAUAAAGGAAAUACCAUUAAAUCUUGUGUCUGUCCAAGCCAUCACCAGUUAAGUCCUAAAGCUUCUGAAUAAAGCUGAACAGACAGUAAAGACCAGGAAAUCCCUGCUGUGUGCUGGAGGAGGCAUUGAGAAGUGCUAAGAUGUGAAGUCUCAACCAGUAGUACUGUGAAACCUGCUCAUCAGGAGUGUGUGUAUGUAAAUGAGAUUGAUUGGGUCACGAGAUCAGAGAAUCUGGCCUGUCUGAAAUCUUCAGUAACUUAAUGACUUGAGCAGACAAUGGUGCAGAUAAAGUCCAAAGGCGAUAUUCUGAAGAAGGUGCUGUUGCUCAUGGAGACAGACCAUUUUGUGUUAUUUAAGCCUUCAACUAACUGGAUGAUGUCUACCAAUUUUAAUGGGGGUAAUUUGUUUUAUUUAGUGGUCACUGGUUUAAAUGAAAUUCUAUCCAAAAUACCUUCCAACCUGCCAUAUGGAAUUAGCCAUCAUAGAUACUAACUCAAAAUGAGUCCCC
rnacentral:lncRNA from 1 species